AUGGCUGUCGUCAGCUCGUGUCGUGAGAUGUUGGGUUAAGUCCCGCAACGAGCGCAACCCACGUCUUUAGUUGCCAGCAUUUAGUUGGGCACUCUAGAGAGACCGCCGGUGAUAAACCGGAGGAAGGUGUGGAUGACGUCAAGUCAUCAUGCCCCUUACAUCCUGGGCUACACACGUACUACAAUGCUACGGACAAAGGGCAGCAAACUCGCGAGAGCUAGCAAAUCCCAUAAACCGUGGCUCAGUUCAGAUCGUAGGCUGCAACUCGCCUACGUGAAGGAGGAAUCGCUAGUAAUCGCAGGUCAGCAUACUGCGGUGAAUACGUUCCCGGGCCUUGUACACACCGCCCGUCACACCAUGGAAGUUGGCCAUGCCCGAAGUCGUUACUCCAACCCGUAAGGGAGGAGGACGCCGAAGGUGGGGCUGAUGACUGGGGUGAAGUCGUAACAAGGUAGCCGUACCGGAAGGUGCGGCUGGAUCACCUCCUAAC
rnacentral:rRNA from 1 species